GCCGUGGAGCACUUCACAUCCGCUGUCCCAUCCCAAAACCUUGGUGGGCAGAGAAAUAGAUGAGGAAACUGGGUCCUACAAGAGAGCAAAUGACUUGUCCAACACUACAGAUGUGUCCUAAUUUUACCUGAACUCCUAAGGACUGCGCUGCAAGUCUGUCUAAAAACACAAGUAAACAGGCAAAUGGCCAACCCCCUGCCUACAUGUCUCCAUAUGAUCUUCUACUGGACAUGAAC
rnacentral:lncRNA from 1 species